GACGUAGGGCGCGAGCGUUGUCCGGAUUUAUUGGGCGUAAAGAGCUCGUAGGCGGCUUGUUGCGUCGGCUGUGAAAACCCGCAGCUCAACUGUGGGCUUGCAGCCGAUACGGGCAGGCUUGAGUUCGGUAGGGGAGACUGGAAUUCUUGGUGUAGCGGUGAAAUGCGUAGAUAUCAAGAGGAACACCUGAGGUGAAGACGGGUUGCUGGGCCGACACUGACGCUGAGUGCGCGAAAGCGUAGGGAGCAAACAGG
rnacentral:rRNA from 1 species